AGUGAAAUAUCUGGAUCAAAUGGUGGUUUCAUUCCUAAUUUUUUAAGCACUCUCCAUACUGUUUUCCAGAGUGGUUCCACCAAAUUGAAGUCCCAUAAGCAAU
rnacentral:pre_miRNA from 1 species